CCUACGGGAGGCAGCAGUGAGGAAUAUUGGUCAAUGGACGAGAGUCUGAACCAGCCAAGUAGCGUGAAGGAUGACUGCCCUAUGGGUUGUAAACUUCUUUUAUAUGGGAAUAAAAUGUUCCACGUGUGGGAUUUUGUAUGUACCAUAUGAAUAAGGAUCGGCUAACUCCGUGCCAGCAGCCGCGGUAAUACGGAGGAUCCGAGCGUUAUCCGGAUUUAUUGGGUUUAAAGGGAGAGUAGGUGGAUUGUUAAGUCAGUUGUGAAAGUUUGCGGCUCAACCGUAAAAUUGCAGUUGAAACUGGCAGUCUUGAGUACAGUAGAGGUGGGCGGAAUUCGUGGUGUAGCGGUGAAAUGCUUAGAUAUCACGAAGAACUCCGAUUGCGAAGGCAGUUCACUGGACUGCAACUGACACUGAGGCUCGAAAGUGUGGGUAUCAAACAGGAUUAGAUACCCCUGUAGUC
rnacentral:rRNA from 1 species